UACGAAGGGGACUAGCGUUGUUCGGAAUCACUGGGCGUAAAGCGUGCGCAGGCGGUUUGCCAAGACAGAUGUGAAAGCCCCGGGCUCAACCUGGGAAUGGCAUUUGUGACUGGCAGGCUAGAGUGUGUCAGAGGGGGGUAGAAUUCCACGUGUAGCAGUGAAAUGCGUAGAGAUGUGGAGGAAUACCGAUGGCGAAGGCAAUCCCCUGGGCCUGCACUGACGCUCAUGCACGAAAGCGUGGGGAGCAAACAGG
rnacentral:rRNA from 1 species